rnacentral:rRNA from 1 species
AUUGAACGCUGGCGGCAUGCCUUACACAUGCAAGUCGAACGGCAGCACGGGAGCAAUCCUGGUGGCGAGUGGCGAACGGGUGAGUAAUAUAUCGGAACGUGCCCAGUCGUGGGGGACAACGCAGCGAAAGCUGUGCUAAUACCGCAUACGAUCUAUGGAUGAAAGCGGGGGAUCGCAAGACCUCGCGCGAUUGGAGCGGCCGAUAUCAGAUUAGGUAGUUGGUGGGGUAAAGGCUCACCAAGCCGACGAUCUGUAGCUGGUCUGAGAGGACGACCAGCCACACUGGAACUGAGACACGGUCCAGACUCCUACGGGAGGCAGCAGUGGGGAAUUUUGGACAAUGGGCGCAAGCCUGAUCCAGCAAUGCCGCGUGCAGGAUGAAGGCCUUCGGGUUGUAAACUGCUUUUGUACGGAGCGAAAAGGCUCUCUCUAAUACAGGGGGCUCAUGACGGUACCGUAAGAAUAAGCACCGGCUAACUACGUGCCAGCCGCCGCAGUAAAAC